rnacentral:lncRNA from 1 species
CUGACCUCGUGAUCUGCCCGUCUUGGCCUCCGAAAGUGCUGGGAUUACAGGCGUGAGCCACCGCGCCCGGCCAGGAAUCCUUUCUUGAUCUUAUAAAGAAAAUUCACAAAUACAAAACAGAAGGAAAAGAAAAUAAACAAAAUCCUAUGGCAGCUUCCGCUAUGGCUGUGUUAGCUCCUGCUGGACCAAACCUCCCAGAGACCAGCUAAAAACCCUGGACAAAACACAAAAAUAUAACCUGAAGGCACCGGGGUGAAUGAACAUAGGCAGAUGCCACAGUGGAGUUGAUACUCGGAAGAAGACACAAUAUAGGGACACAGCAAGACAAAUCACAGCACAGCAAAUCAUGAGGAGACACCAGGCAAAUCCAAAUUGGGAGAAAUUCCUAAAACACCUGGCCUGUAUUCUUCAAACCUGUCAAGAACAUGAAAGUCAAGGAGAUACUGAGUAACUUUUUCAGGUUGAAGAAGACUAAAGAGAAAUUAUAACUAAAAGCAAUGCAUGUUUCUAAACUUGAUCCCUUUGCUAUAAAGGAUAUUUUGGACCAAAU